UAUUGUUAAAAUCUGAAAAAGUGUCGCAUCAAGAUGCAACCUUAGAACACAUCUAGCAGGAUAAUUUGAAAGGGGAAAAAAACCAGGUUGCAGUUUGGAGCAAUAUUACCCCUUACCAGAUAACAGUUUGGAGCUGAUUUCCUGCUUGGUUGUUUAUGUGUGUCAGUACCUGCUCGUUCAGUUGGGUUUUUUUAAGUUUGUCCAUGUUAAGCUCCAUUACCAUUACUCUGGUGCUCAUUGUAUCUUUUAAACCACAGAUGAAGAGAUCAACAAAACAGAUGGUGCUCAAUAAGCACAACAGUAUCAGGACAUGUAUUGGACUUAAUUGUAGCAAAUAUUAAAAGAUCAAGAUGUUUUCAGUAUUACAUGUUGACAGCCCUCAAAAGAAGGUAGAACAAAUGAUUCAAGCCAUUUUAGGUUGCUUCUCCAUUUGAGAAUGAUAUGUUUCAGGAUUGAGAAUGCCCAGUAUUUUUUCA